UAUAAAAAUAUUCCUAUAGAAUCUUGAGGAACGGGAGAAUUUAAUCGUAAAUAUCGACUAAUUCUUACGAAGUACAAAUCAAAAAGAAGUCUAAAAAAAAAGAUCAAUUUCAUCUAUAUCGAAUUUGAAUAUCAGAAUAGUAGAUAUAGUUUUGUUUCGAAUUUUCUCUUUUUUUGGAAUGGAAUAUUUACAGAAUCCCCAUGAAUAGGACUAAACCUUAUUCCAUGGUAUUUACAUAAGAUUCCUCUUUCUUAUUCUUCUUAUUCUUAAGCAAGUCCCCGAGAGGGCUUAGUUGAUCCAUGAUUUAUGUUUCGUCUUUCGUUUCCUUUUCGUUUGUUUCGAGAGAUAUAUUGAUCACUUCCGAUUCUUUUUCCAUUGAUUCUUUUCCGAUCGAGAUGUAUGGAUCCAUGGGUCUAUGUGUCUAUAUAGAUCCUAUUCAUGGAUUAA
rnacentral:lncRNA from 1 species